rnacentral:scRNA from 1 species
AGAUCCACCAGCACAGCAUGGAGCAUAGGGAACU